GUGUGUGACCCCAUAGGUUCUACUCUGACUGGUAGUGAGAUAUAUUAUGAUCUCUAUCACAAUAUCAUUGAAAACUCCUUUCAAUGGAUUGGAACGAUUCCAACUCUACUCUUUAGGGUUUAUUGAUCAUCGAGAUAAUCCCUGUGAGUCCCACCAUCCACCAGUGACACCUAGCAGCAUGUAGUGGCUACCUAGUAAAAUAGAAUGAUGAACCUCUAGGUGCAGUUAUCGUGUGAUACAGUCCUACUAUCGUUGAUCCCUACAGGACGGAGGUCAUGGAUAACUCGUCAAACCCCUUCGUCUGUCAUAUGUCAAGAUUUAUUCGACUCGAGUUCGAUAGUGGAAAACUCUUUCUCUACUUUAUAUUACUGCCCUAGCCAAGGUAUUAGAACUCAGUCUAACAAAUCACAUAGGAUCACUCCUCUUCUAU
rnacentral:lncRNA from 1 species